GUCUAGUUCAAACACAACAAAUUCUUUGUUGUUGAACUGUGGAUCUGAAAAUGAAGGCACAGAUGCUGAUGGGCGUAAAUGGGAGCCAGAUGCCAAGUACCUUGGUGGGAAUCACCCGCAAGCCAGAGCUCAAAUCCAAGACUCAUCAAUUCUUUCUGAUGUUCCACUUAUGGAUGCUAGAAUUUUCAGAUCUGAAGCCACCUAUAAA
rnacentral:misc_RNA from 1 species